GCCUCUGACCCCUGUCCUCUGC
rnacentral:miRNA from 1 species